rnacentral:lncRNA from 1 species
GAUAUAAUCGUACUCUACACCAUCUGAGAGGUAUUUGUAGAAAAUUUCUUUGAAAAUAUACCCAUUUUUCUGGAGGUUAUCUGCAAACAAACUCGGGGACACGAUUGUGUGUGUUUGUCGUUUUAUGCACCUUUGAGUUCUUAAACACCCUUUGUAACAUGCUGGUUGGUACCAUAACAUAGUUACAAGGUGUCCAGAAAUAUUUCUCCAACCGUAUGAUCUCUUAGCCAGGCAAUUUCAGGACAGGAAACCUGGAGGUUCCAACUCGAAAUGAUAUUUCGCUCUCGAAAUGAUAUUUCGCUCUCGAAAUGAUAUUUCGCUCUCGAAAUAUUAAUACAGAGUAUUUCAGUGUAAACAAUCGUGCAACUGUAAGGCGAUAUGAUAUUGAUGACUAUAUUGACCAACUGGAUAGCGUCUUCACCAGUGGGAUCCAAGCACUGCAAUUACUGACGGAAGUGUGUGGACAGUAAGAGGAACUAUGUUAAAAAAUGAACUUCAUUUACUUACAUUCCAUGUGAGCGCAUUUCAGUCGACCCUCAAAUUAAUAAAAAUCAUUAUUAUAACUGCAUUUAUUUUAAAGUUAACUUUGAAAAUAUCUACCUUUCACGGAAAAAAAAAUUGUAUGACUCAAUAGAAAAUGACGUUAUGCCGCCCCACAUAUUUGUACAGAGUCUUAGGCUCACUUCAGAGAGUUACGUGAGGUUGUUGAACAUGUGGUCAAACCCUUGCUGAAGAGGAUUGAGGCUGGAAGUCCAUGUGUUUGGCAGCUGGAUUAGGCUAUUUGUCACACCCAGGAAGAGUCAAAAGUGGUUGUCGGAGAAUCUCUACGACUUCAGUAGCACCAAUUUUUGUUUUUCUAAUUUCUGAGAGGAGAAUAUUUUGAAUAAAAUCAUAAUCAACUGAU